rnacentral:tRNA from 4 species
UGGCAUGUAGCUCAGCCGGUAGAGCACCUCGCUGUUAACGAGGGUGUCGCAGGUUCGAGACCUGCCGUGCCAGCCA